AAUUAUACCCCGAUUUGUUUUCGCGAUCCUAAUUCAAUUCAUUGACUUUAAUUUUUUUAUGCCAAUCCUUACCCCAAACUUUCCGAACUUCUUAUCAUAUGCAAAUGUAGUGCUAGGAUCAGCCAAAACCUAUAACGAGAUACUAGAGGGUAAAGUGACCUUGGGACAAGUGAGCGACUUCGGUACUUCCCUGACUUUAUUCAUGAUACCCGGCUUUGAUUCAGGGUGUGGGAGUUCCCCACGUUGCACUAUAACUCUUCGAUACCACUUCUGAUUUUCCCGCACACCAGCCCUGCCGGCGAAUCUCUUGUCAGGCCAGGAGUUUUGUUGCGGGACACCCUAGUAUACCACGUGCCAGAGAAAAAAAAAAAAAUUGGCGUGGAUGUCCCCUAUAAAGAGGCCUUUACGUCUGCGUGGCGGCCGACUUCCACGUCACACUCCCCACUCCUAGUGCCUUCCUGCGACAGGAGGAGUUGGGAUUAACUUGGGCACACCGUUCGGCAGACCAGCGACAGCAAUGUGAACGUGUGGUCUGCCAUGCGCAAGUUUUUUUUUGUUUUCAGUUGUUCUUAUUGUCCCUCGUUGGAAUGGUCAAUUACUGGAUCCCAUUCUUACAGGCUGGGGGAAGCGGUGUUUAUUUCACGGCGGCUUCCCCGGGCAAACGUUGGAGAACUGGGGCUGCCUUUUUUAUAUGUGGCCCGAUGGCUAACCCCAGCUCUGCGAGGGGGAACCUGCCGAGAGAUUGCAGACCUGAUGCAAGUGAUUGUCAGGAUUUAUGAAAUACAUCCAUACCCAAGAGGAUGGGUUUCAUAAACCUGCAAUCACGGCAUCAGGCAGGCCACCGUAGCAUGUUUCCCGGUACCUGAAAAUAGAGGAAGAAAGGAAUAUUAAUAAAUAAUUGCGGAGAAAUGAUGGAACGAUAUUACCUUAUGGCCUUCUACCAAGAGCCACGAAGUAAACAGAUGGGUUUCGCCCAGCUGACGCGUAGAGUUGCCAUUGCGUAUGUUAUUUGCCAUUGCAUAUGGCGAAUUACUACACUGGGUGAGAUUGUUGUUGGGCGGCUAUACGACGAUAAAGCGGUUUUCAUUCAUAUAAAGUAGCCGCUCCAAACGAAAAGAUUUAAGAGAAUUUAAAUGUUAGCUAUUGGGUUACAAAUGUUCUAAAACCGGAGUUAAUGCAUAAAAUCAAUAUGGCUAUUAACUCAAGAUGGCUAAUUUUUAUGAUUGAGUGAGAACAAAGUAAUAAAAGAGGGUUAAUUAGGCAUUUUGGCGUCAGUUGAAAAGAAAAGUGCAUGACAUUAUAUCUGAGAGAUGUGUAUUUAAAUUUGAAUUGCAAAGUAAUAAUAAGGAAGAGAAAAUUCCAGUGGGUGUUUUGUGUGUCGACAUAAGUCGUUUUGCUGUUUUAAUCGAGACUGUGAGAAAUAAAUAAAGAUACCAAAUAAGAUAAAAUAAAGCCUCCUGGACGAGAGGAGGCGAAAUUUUUGUUGGUGCAAGUGGCUGGGUUAAGGCUAAAGUGAAUUCCCCCCGAUUCAGAAACACACAUUGAACGGUGAUUACCGCAAACGCCACCGUUUCAUCUGGUGGUUAUAAAGGUAGGCCGCUUUUUAGUUUAUUGUGCCCAAAAGAGGGCGAGAGAGGAAAUUCCGUCCGUUGUUGUCCAGACCGAGAGGUUUGGUUGGAUGAAAAAUCGUUGGUCAACGUUAAUCCAGAGGUGCACAAUUGUUGCCAUCAGGCUAUCCAAAUUAGGGGAACUAUCCCAGUUAUCUCUGGAAAGCGGAAUCUUUGCUUGUAUUCGGCCGUACACUUUUGUUUUGGUGAUGGCAAAAGGUACCACCAGUUGAACACCUCCAACGACUUUGAAUUUGAAAUUAUAUGAAGUCACGCACACAUACUAACCUUACUUUGAAAAGGCGAAUUCGACUGAUGACGAAACGUUUUAUUCUCCUCCCGAAAUAGAUGAUACCGAAAGAUUAAAACCUUGGGGUUAUAAUGCAAUAGUAAUCAAACUUUUCAUUACCUUUUUUUUUGUAUGUGGAUAUUGACAUGAUUAUUAUAUUUUGAUUUUUUAACUACCUUCUACUUUAUUUUUACCAUCAUAUUUAUUUCUUACAUUAUUAUUUAUUGACCAUUUUUUUUAUAUUUUUUUCAUAUAUCCUAAGUUUUAGCUUACGUUUUUUUUUUACUUGUUUUUAUGUGAUAGAAUUUGCAAAACGUUCAUGAGUACGCGUUUGUAGGGUGUCUAUUCCCAGCAGUGUGUCCCUUCUAAGAGAGCUCCCUUAGGUAGGCCAGGCUUAACCGUUUUUAUUUAUAUUAAUUUGAUUAUCCUUCUUUGCAAGUUCUAGUGUUCAGUGUUCGUUUCAUGUAACAAGAAAGUUAAAAAUUAGAAGAUUAAGUUAAUUGAUUUAAUGCUAUAAUUUAGUUAAAACUCAGUACUGUCAGUUUAUUGUUGAUGAUUUUGAUAAAAGAAAGACAGGAAUCUUAAUACGAAUUGCGUUAGUUUUAGGCCUUUAUAUUUUAAAUAAAAUUUAUG